AAGCCCCGAGAGAGGCUCCGCGCUCCCCCGCUCACCGGCCGAGAGGCUCCGCCCAGAGACUUCGCUGGCCCGGCGCAGACACUCGGAGGCUCCAGCUGGAAGCUCCGCCCCGACUGGAGCUUGUGUGCGGACUGAUUAAGUGAACAAAGCCAGCCAAAGCAUGAGUGCUCAACCAGCACGAUUGCAUGAAAACUUCAAGUGGGAGUGACAAAGGAGGCCGACAAAGACGCUCCUGACGGCAAACAGACACUUCCUGAAGGAAAACAUUCCCACUGUCCAGAGGGAAGCAGCUGUGUUCUACUGCCCCCUAUCGUGUCAAACUGACAUCCACAAAUCU